rnacentral:lncRNA from 1 species
UAUGUCAUAUUUCAAAGAGACGGCGAAGAGAAAGGUUCAGAUAAACCGCAGGGACAUAAAGAUUGAGAGCCAUCAUCGUCGGAAAUCAAAUGAAGUAAAAGCAGGUGUUUAAGAAACAUAAAGAAUAAUACAAGAUAAGUUGACAAUCAUGGCUUACCAAUGUCACGCGUGUGAGGCCAGUUUUCCGAGACUGAGCCAGCUACUGCAUCACAGACGGACUGAGAAUCACUGGCCAAAAUUUACAUGCCCAAGCUGCAAGAAAAGUUUCACCAGAAAGAAUAACUUGAAACAACCCAUGAAAAAGCACGCAGAUGAAAAUAAUCACCAUUGCCCGGAUUGUCUUCGUGUAUUCACAAAAAAAAGAUGUUCUUGAUGAGCAUUUUGUACAACACGAAAGCCAAAGUGGUGGAGGCAUUAACUCCCUGGGGCCGAAAUGCGACUAUAGGCGUUAUAUUUUCUACCCCGUAGCGUCGAUAUCCGACUAUACGUGCGUUAUCAGGACUCCCCAGGACGGCGAUUGACGAGUAUAGUCGCGGCACCAAGAUCAUGCUGAUUGUGACAUGUACUUGUUAAUUUUUGAUAAACUUGGCAAAAGCAAAAUUAUUUUGCAUACUGGGUAUUAUUUUUUAUAAUUAGUGCUAAUUAGUUCCGUUGUUGAAAUAAGUGUUUGCCAUUAUGUGGCCAUGUAAAGACGAAAUCCACUGUGUGUCGUUCAUUCUGUAUUUCAAAGGUGUAAAAUAAUGUCAUCUGCCAAAAAUCUUUCUUAAAAUAAAGAAAAUAUUCAUUAUCAUGCAGCUUCUGACAUAUCAAUUCCGUCCGAUGAUGAUUCAGACGAUGAAAUUCCAUUAUCAGUUAAAUGAACGGUCGGAAAAUGUUAAGUUUUAGAAGGCUGAAAUAUUCGUACACUUACAUCGAAUACGAUACAAACUGAAAAACAUGAACACAACAAAACAUAUUUUAUAAAAUACAAAAACAACGUGACUACAUAAACAUAUGAUUGUAAAUUUAAUAAUCUUUCAAAGGUAAAUGUAUAUAUUAAAACUUAACUGUCUCAUCGCGUUUCACAAAACGUUUGUGUACAUGUAUACGUCAAAAUUAAACAAAGGCAUGAUCGAUAUUCACACAAAAACGGGUGUCAAUUUUAAGUAUGCUUUUGUACAAAGUCUUUGUUAAUAUUGUAUUUCUAUUUAGUGGGGUUCAAUGUCUUUGCAUGUGAAAAAGUAAGCGAACCAGAAACGUUCAAAUAUUUUCAACGCAGUAGGUUUGUUAAAAUUGUAAAUACUUCGAAGAAAAAAUAUUUUUCUAUUUGGAUAUAGG